GAUGAACGCUAGCGGGAGGCCUAACACAUGCAAGCCGAGCGGUAGAGAUCUUUCGGGAUCUUGAGAGCGGCGUACGGGUGCGGAACACGUGUGCAACCUGCCUUUAUCUGGGGGAUAGCCUUUCGAAAGGAAGAUUAAUACCCCAUAAUAUACUGAAUGGCAUCAUUCGGUAUUGAAAACUCCGGUGGAUAGAGAUGGGCACGCGCAAGAUUAGAUAGUUGGUGAGGUAACGGCUCACCAAGUCUACGAUCUUUAGGGGGCCUGAGAGGGUGAUCCCCCACACUGGUACUGAGACACGGACCAGACUCCUACGGGAGGCAGCAGUGAGGAAUAUUGGACAAUGGGUGAGAGCCUGAUCCAGCCAUCCCGCGUGAAGGACGACGGCCCUAUGGGUUGUAAACUUCUUUUGUAUAGGGAUAAACCUACCCUCGUGAGGGUAGCUGAAGGUACUAUACGAAUAAGCACCGGCUAACUCCGUGCCAGCAGCCGCGGUAAUACGGAGGGUGCAAGCGUUAUCCGGAUUUAUUGGGUUUAAAGGGUCCGUAGGCGGAUCUGUAAGUCAGUGGUGAAAUCUCACAGCUUAACUGUGAAACUGCCAUUGAUACUGCAGGUCUUGAGUGUUGUUGAAGUAGCUGGAAUAAGUAGUGUAGCGGUGAAAUGCAUAGAUAUUACUUAGAACACCAAUUGCGAAGGCAGGUUACUAAGCAACAACUGACGCUGAUGGACGAAAGCGUGGGGAGCGAACAGGAUUAGAUACCCUGGUAGUCCACGCCGUAAACGAUGCUAACUCGUUUUUGGANNGUAAGNUUCAGAGACUAAGCGAAAGUGAUAAGUUAGCCACCUGGGGAGUACGAACGCAAGUUUGAAACUCAAAGGAAUUGACGGGGGCCCGCACAAGCGGUGGAUUAUGUGGUUUAAUUCGAUGAUACGCGAGGAACCUUACCAAGGCUUAAAUGGGAAAUGACAGGUUUAGAAAUAGACUUUUCUUCGGACAUUUUUCAAGGUGCUGCAUGGUUGUCGUCAGCUCGUGCCGUGAGGUGUUAGGUUAAGUCCUGCAACGAGCGCAACCCCUGUCACUAGUUGCCAUCAUUAAGUUGGGG
rnacentral:rRNA from 1 species